AUACGGAGGUGGCAAGCGUUGCUAGGAAUCACUGGGCUUAAAGGGCGUGUAGGCGGUGAAUUAAGUCGGGUGUGAAAUCCCUCGGCUCAACCGAGGAAUUGCAUUCGAAACUGGUUUACUAGAGUGCGGGAGGGGAGAGUGGAACUCCAGGUGUAGCGGUGAAAUGUGUAGAUAUCUGGAGGAACGCCGGUGGCGAAAGCGACGCGCUGGGUCUCUUCUGACGCUGAGGCACGAAAGCUAGGGGAGCGAACGGGAUUAGAAACCCCAGUAGUCC
rnacentral:rRNA from 1 species